rnacentral:rRNA from 1 species
GAUGAACGCUGGCGGCGUGCCAAUACAUGCAAGUCGAGCGAACGGACGAGAAGCUUGCUUCUCUGAUGUUAGCGGCGGACGGGUGAGUAACACGUGGAUAACCUACCUAUAAGACUGGGAUAACUUCGGGAAACCGGAGCUAAUACCGGAUAAUAUUUUGAACCGCAUGGUUCAACAGUGAAAGACGGUCUUGCUGUCACUUAUUGAUGGAUCCGCGCUGCAUUAGCUAGUUGGUAAGGUAACGGCUUACCAAGGCAACGAUGCAUAGCCGACCUGAGAGGGUGAUCGGCCACACUGGAACUGAGACACGGUCCAGACUCCUACGGGAGGCAGCAGUAGGGAAUCUUCCGCAAUGGGCGAAAGCCUGACGGAGCAACGCCGCGUGAGUGAUGAAGGUCUUCGGAUCGUAAAACUCUGUUAUUAGGGAAGAACAUAUGUGUAAUUAACUGUGCACAUCUUGACGGUACCUAAUCAGAAAGCCACGGCUAACUACGUG